rnacentral:lncRNA from 10 species
AGACCCUGUCUCAAAACAAAACAAAACAAAAAAACGGAAACUGGGAGGUGAGAACAGGACUGGGGAGGGAGGGGCAGAGUCGUGGUGGGGAAGUGACAGCUCACUGCCAUUUGGUCCUUUUUGAAUUUUGGAACUUGUGAACACCUUACCUUUUCAAAACACACACACAAUUCAUUCACUCUGCUAACAGGUUUUCCAGGCCCUGCCCUGGUGUUGAACAACUAAGAUUCCUGCCCUUGGGGAGCCACAGACUCGUCCAUCCAUCCAGGAGACAGUCAACAAGACAAGGAAAAUACAGCCAAUGGUGCUGUUCUAGGCGCUGAGGAUGCAGCCGUGCACAAGACGGAUGAAAUCCCUGCCCUCAGGGGGCCGACAUUUGCGGAGUAAAUAAAGGAAAGGCCAACAUGAACAGCUGAUUUGGAUACCAUCAAGACACCUGAAAUUUUAGCAUGAGCCAGAUGCCAAGGAAGAGACUCCGGGAGGAUCCUGAGGACCCCCCGGUUGCAGCCAUGUCGAGGCUGAUGCUGAGGAGGACCCCAACUGUCACGAGAAACACCCGUCGAACACAGCCACCCAGCUGGAGACAGAUCAAGAAGCUGUCACAGAUGAUGGAAGAAAACCUGAGGAAAGCGGGACAACCACUCAGAAUGAGUAAUGGUAGCUAUGAUAGUGGUAAUCACCAUUGCCGUGAGUAUUCCUUAAAGAAGGGCUGACACAGAGAACAAUUAUACUUAUUAGGCAUAUUCAUCAAUCUUGGCUGGCAAUAAUGCCUGGAUGUAAUCACUCUAUGACACAGUUACAUGUGCUUUCUGAUCUCAGUAUUUACCAUAACAAAUCUCCUCCUAUAAUUGAGGCAUACUGCCCUCAAAAACCUAUCUGUAACAAAAUUGAACCUGGCCAGAAAAAAUGAACAUACUUGUUUAGGAAGAUUGCAUUGCAGAACAGGCAGAGGUGCUGCACAACGAUUCCUAUGGAAUCAUUAUUAAUUGGUCCCCUAAAGGGAUGUUUAGCUUAAAUUGCACCAACAGGCCCCCCCGCAAAACCUGGCCAUAAACUGGCCCCGAAACUGACCAUGAACAAUAUCUCUGUGGCACUGUGACAUGUUCAUGAUGGCCAUGACGCCCACGCUGGAAGGUUGUGGGUUUACUGGAAUGAGGGCAAGGAACACCUUGCCCACCCAGGGCGGAAAACCACUUAAAGGCGUUUUUAAACCACAAACAACCGCAUGAGUGAUCUGUGCCUUAAGGACAUGCUCCUGCUGCAGAUAAGUAGCCAUACCCAUGCCUUUAUUUCAGCCCAUCCCUUUGCUUCCCAUAAGGGAUACUUUUAGUUAAUCUAAAAUCUAUAGAAACAAUGCUAAUGUUAAUAAAUACGUGGGUAAAUCUCUGUUUGAGGCUCUCAGCUCUGAAGGCUGUGAGACCCCUGAUUUCCCACUUCACACUUCUAUAUUUCUGUGUCUUUAAUUCCUCUAGCACCGCUGGGUUAGAGUUUCCCUGACUGAGCUGGUCUUGGCAUGAUUCUCCUGCCUCAGCCUCCCAAAUAGCUGGGAUUACAGGCAUGCACCACCAUGCCUUGUUAAUUUUUGUGUUUUUAGUAGAGAUGGGGUUUUACCAUGUUAGCCAGGCUGGUCUCGAACUCCUAGCUUCAAGAGAUCUUCCUGCCUCGGCCUCCCAAAGUGCUGGGAUUACAGGCAUGAGCCACUGUGCCCAGCCUGUUUUUAAUUUUUAUUUUCAAUUAAAAAAAUGUUUAUUGAGACAGAGUCUCACUCUGUCACCCAGGCUGGAGUGCAGUAGAGCAAUAAUGGCUCACUGCCACCUCGAACUCCCAGACUCAAACGAUCCUCCCA